rnacentral:lncRNA from 1 species
UGUUAUUGAAGUUGUGGCUGUCAAUAGUCCUUUUAUUGAUGCUAAGUACAUGGUAAGGAAAUAAUGCUAUAUGAUUUGCAUAUUUUUUUGCUACGAGAACUUCUCCAACUGAAACUCAAAGUUUAGGUGUUCAACUCAUAGUUUUGCAGUAGUUAGUUUUGUACUACUUUGUAUCAAAAUUGCAUCAGACCAUGUUGCACGGUAUUUCGAGCAUAGAAAAAUUACUUAACACCUAAUUUUGCACAAUUGGGUUCCUACUUUUUUCUGUUAUUAGGUGCAAUGACAGAAAUCAUCUAGUGGGAUGUUCUACUGCAUCGGAAUUUGACAAAUUUAAUUCUGCCAUUAUAUUCUUCCCUUCACUGCUCAAGUUAACACCCCUCCUCCCAUUUGUUGUCCCAUAUGUUCAAGUAUGAAUCCAGUCAUGGCCCCUUUAAAGGAUCCAUUAAGAUCGUGGAUGAUUCAGUAUUGGAGAUUAAUGUGAAAAGAUCACAACCAUGGGCGAAAGGUAAAUAUGCCAGGGUUAGCUAAUUGUUUGCCAUAUUAGUGCGGUUGAUAUAUAUGUCGUGGUUUCUAAAUAUGCAUGACAUGUUGUCCUGAAAUAAGGACAUGUGAAGCAAUGGAGUCGCAAAAGUAACAUUAUUAGUUAAUAAUUGAUUUAUAGUUUAGAGCCCCAUGUUUUUCGCACAUUCAUAUGGACAUAUAAUAGCUUAUACGCGCACGCUUGUUGUACAUCUGGAGUACUGCUUGUUCCUUCUCUUAUUUUGAUUCUUAUGUUCACAUGUUGAUUUUCUGUCAUAGAGGGAAAGGAGAAGUCUGAAUGCGCCAACAAGUAGCGACGAAUGAGCUGUCGUCUAUGGAUUGGUUAAGGGAGGAGUUGUCUUGCGCUACAAGGGCAUCUUGCAGAUCGAUUUCCUUGGUUUGAUGUGUCUCAGAUUCUAAUUAGUAUUUAAUUUCCUCAGUUUUAACUUAUAACCGGACAAAAAUUUUUAUUGCACCUAAAUAUUUGAUUAUGAAUCUAAGUUAUGGGAAAUAGGUGGAGUAAAAGGAAAUGAGGCGUUGUUCGAUGGGGCCUUGCCACGGUUGCCUUGAGUUUUCGCAUCGAAGCACCACUUUGUAUGGCUGGCCUUCCAUGGCUACAUCGAGGGUCCCAAUGUGCAGGUGAGCUCUUCUUUUCAUUGCAGGUUAUGAGUCAUCUCCACCUCAAUGAGAUUUAGUUUCCACAUUAACGACUAUAGGUUUAUUAAUAUUUUGGAGUGGUCUACUUUCAUUGUCUCCGGUUCAGUUGUGUAUUUCUUUUCGCCCAUGUUCGCUUCAGUAUUCCCUUCCAAUUCUCACACUAUGGUUGCAGCUUCUUUAUUUAUGUUGGAUUGUUCUGUGAAUUGCCACCAUGACACUUGUUGAAAAUAGUGUUGUCAGGUGAUAAUCAUUCUUGGCAGUGAUUAUUGUUGUGGAUGGGAUAUUGAUGCAGACAUACCACGAAGGGAAGAUCUGCCUCACUGUGCACUUCAGGCGCGCGCACACUAGCGAUGGUACAGGAUUGGCUUCCUGGUGGAAUCAGGUGCGCGUCGUCCAUGGUGGCCUGUCGUGGGUGUUGGUGGGCCGCUGGAGGCGGCUGUAGCAG